GACGAACGCUGGCGGCGUGCCUAAUACAUGCAAGUUGAGCGCUGAAGGUUGGUACUUGUCCCAACUGGCUGAGCAGCGAACGGGUGAGUAACGCGUGGGGAAUCUGCCUUUGAGCGGGGGACAACAUUUGGAAACGAAUGCUAAUACCGCAUAAAAACUUUAAACACAAGUUUUAAGUUUGAAAGAUGCAAUUGCAUCACUCAAAGAUGAUCCCGCGUUGUAUUAGCUAGUUGGUGAGGUAAAGGCUCACCAAGGCGAUGAUACAUAGCCGACCUGAGAGGGUGAUCGACCACAUUGGGACUGAGACACGGCCCAAACUCCUACGGGAGGCAGCAGUAGGGAAUCUUCGGCAAUGGACGAAAGUCUGACCGAGCAACGCCGCGUGAGUGAAGAAGGUUUUCGGAUCGUAAAACUCUGUUGGUAGAGAAGAACGUUGGUGAGAGUGGAAAGCUCAUCAAGUGACGGUAACUACCCAGAAAGGGACGGCUAACUACGUG
rnacentral:rRNA from 1 species